rnacentral:lncRNA from 1 species
GUUUGUUUUAGAUUUAUGUAAGAGAGGGUUCUCAGGGAAGCGAAAGAGUAAUAAUUAUUCAUCCUCAGAGUUGAUGCAAUGUCUCAUUGUUUAGCCAAUACUCAUUCGAGGAAGAAGCACGUUAGUUGUUCAACACCAAAUCCUGACUUUUAUACAGCCAAACAAUAAAGUUGCCCUUUUUUGUUUCUAUAGUUAUUAAUAAAUUAUAGGAGAAUGUUUUAUGGAUCUGUUAAGGAGAUAAAUCAAAAAUAAGUGUGUAAUGGUUAUUUUGGAGAUAUUUUCAAUGUUAUCAUCGGAGUGCCAAACAAAUGGUUCAGUUGUGAGGCUUGAAGAUUUGACCACACACAAACGCAAUCCUGUGCACUUUACAAUCUGCUCUCUUGCCUACAGGUUUGGUCGCAGAGAUGACCCGACGAGAUCGUCACCUCUUGAACGUCCGGUCCCCUUCCUCUGCUAACGCCUCUGGAGCAUAAAACUGCUUCAGGGGGGGCUCGGUGUGGGGUGGAUUGCACCACUUCUCGCCGUCUUCCUGGAAUGUUGUCAUCCACUUCAGAUUGUCAAUCAGAUCAAUGCCAAAGUCAAACGGCGGCGCUGAAAAUAGCAGGGCGUCUAGCAGCGGAUCUACUUGGCCGAUGGAGAAUAGCCCGGAGCUCUGAAAAAGUUCACUUUUACAAACAAGGAAGAGUGCCGACCGUUUCAAACAGCUGUUCAAAGAGGGAGAGACAAACACAGAGAGAGGCAGCGAUGAGCCACAAAAGAAGGAGAUUAAUGAGAAAACCAGCUGACGGAAGAAAAGGAGGCUCCUGGCUUUAUCCUGAGAAGGGAGAGGAGGCUCAACCGGGUGAGCCACUGUUUACUUACAAAGUUAAAGUUCCAGCUCCUCUUGAAGGAGAGUCUCUUUCUGAGACUCAUUGUUCCCUGGUCUGUUACACUAGCAGCACACAGACAAAAUAUGUGUGUGUGUGUGUGUGUGUGCAAACGCAUACCUGAACACUCUCCACCCAAAAUCUCCGCAAACCAUGUCUGUACAAGUUGGAGAAAGGGAAAAGAGGGAGGGAGUAGGAGGCAAAGAUUUGACAAGGUAAUAGGACAGGAAGAAAAAGGGAGUAGGACGAGGCGGCGCAAAUAGAGGGAAGAAAGAUUCCCUUACUUAGCGGCUGUUGCCAUGGGAACCGAGCUGACAAUACAUACUGAGUCUGCCACAGAGGCAAGGAGGAAUCAGAGGAAUUAACCCCCACCCCCACAAAAACACACUAA